UCUUUUUCCAUUUAUAUUGGGAUAACGUUUCAUCGAUGCUUUCACGUUUUGGUUUCCUGUUUACUCCCUUCUGUCCGUGUUUGACUCAAAAUUGACCAAACCUGUGUAUAGGAAACUCCAUAUGAGGAAAUGGGUAAUCUUUACAUCUCUGAUCGGAUUGAGUCGAUAUGCUUCAAUGUAUAAGAAUACGGCGUACACACGACGCUCGCCAGAGACUGAUAUUGGUGCGGAGAAUGCUCCGUUUAUUCUGCUAAUUACCUGAAGGCGCAUUCUGUGUUCGUGUACCAAUCUCUUUAGGGUCUCGAGUUAUUUGGGUGUUUUUUUGGUAAACGUUUUGAUGAAGAUUUAACUGUUUUUGGCGCUGUCCUUACAAAUAUUGAAAUGAUGGAUGAAAAUGAGACGUUUAGUUUUCCCGACUUUGACACCCGGCAAAUGGACUACCCCAUGAAUAUUACCUCAGUCCCCGUGGGUGAAGCGGCCGUCAAAAUCACGGUGUACACUUUACUGAUUCUGAUUUCGUUGAUUGGAAAUACUCUCAUUGUCUUAGUGGUGUUAAAAAACAAAAGAAUGCAGACGACAACGAACUACUUUUUGGUGAAUUUGGCAGUGUCUGAUUUGGUAGUGUCCCUUUCCUGUUCCUGGGUCAAUCUGGUUGAGGACCUAACCGAGGGUUGGGUCCUUGGGGCCUUCUUUUGCCCAUUUAAUUCGUUUGCUCAAGUGACAUCACUAGUGUCCAGUAUUCUGUCCCUGACUCUGGUGGCGUGUGACCGAUUCUUCGGAAUAGUGUUCGCUAUGAAAGCGCACAUCAUAGAAAGAAAAGCCAAGCCGGUAAUCAUAGCCGUUUGGGUCAUCUCGGUCGCUGUCGCGUCCCCUUUGCUCGUAUACAGGAGAGUACACGAACGACACUGGAAGAACCACGUGGAAAGAUGGUGUGACGACUCCGAUUGGAGUAUAGACUCGGGGGAUGGGGAAUCUCAUUUUCACAAACCGUCACGUGUGGCUUACUGGACCUUUGUUUCGGUUAUCCUCUUCUUUAUACCCAUCAUAGCAAUGAUCGGGGCCUACUGUGGUAUAAUCAAGACACUCUGGUCCACAAAAAUACCAGGAGAACGAGUUUAUAAGGAAAAUUUGGUACAGAAUAAAAUGAAGAGAAAGGUUAUAGUGAUGCUGAUAGCCAUUUUGGCGGUGUUUGCCCUCUGUUGGUGUCCAUUACAGAUCACUAUUUUAUAUUCGGAAUAUAGAGGAAAUCAUACAGAACCGCUUAAAGAAUGGUACAUCCAUUUCAAGUUUACUGCAAUGUUGCUAGCUUUUUCAAACAGCGCCUUUAAUCCUCUUAUAUACGCGGGUUUCAACGAGAACUUUAGAAAAGGUUUGCUCAAUCUUUUGGGUUGUUACAAAAAGAUUCGCUGGACGCCCGUAAAUCGCAUGGAUUCAUUUAGAAGUACCACUCUCAAUUCCACAAAGUCAGAACAGCUAGAUUUGUAAGUCUACACGUACCACCUGUGCAUGCCGUAAGCCCUUUCUUGAAGUUGCAUGCUUAAAUUAACCGCCAUUAUUUUUUUAAAGAAAGCAUUGAGCGUCCAGCAUCAAAAGCGCUACAUUCCAUGUAGAGAGACGAGGCGAAGCACUACAACUUUAACAUUCCACACAGUACAGGCGGAGGGCGCGCUGUGACAUUACAUGUAUAUACUCACAGAACUGAUUAGUUGUUGAAUAUUUGUUAAAUGUUGAGUUACUAUAAUACAAUGUACAUGAUUGUAAAUGUUCGGUAUACAUGACAUUCUUUGUGUUUGAAAAGUAGUAAUAAAGAAGAGAAAAACCUCUUAAAAUGUUUGUAUUGGAACAAAGCCCCGUAACUCGAAUUUAUAUGCUAAAUGUAUUAAAUUCUGAUCUCCACUAUAUUUACCUAUAUGACGAAUUGUUGCAAAUAAAUCCAAAUCUUCAUAUAUAGACACUGUUUACCUGUUUAUCGACUCAAACAGUAUAGUUCAAGAUAACUAGUAUACAUCCUAUGUCGUGUUGACAAAGAGAUAUCAUUUGUUAAAAUUUUUGGGUUUAGGGUUUUUUUUAAGGAUGUCUAUUACUAAUAUUCUCUGAUAUUGUACAGAAGUAUUUAAAAAAUGAA